UCACAGACGACAUCCACAUGCACCUACUAACCUCUGUGACAAGGGAUGGGUUCCAUUUGGAGUCAACUGCUACUGGUUCUCGGAAGAGAGUUCCACCUUUAAAGGCACUCAGGGUAUAAAGGGGUGUGGCUUGGUAUAACGGACUUCCUCAUAGACGGAGUGUUUCUUUCUGUCUCUAUUGCAAGAAGAGUUUACUAUGCCUGUUGGAAAUCUGGGCAGCCUGACGGCAGACAACUGGAAAGCUGCGGGAUGUUUGAACCGGCGGAAGGAGCGUGGAGUAAACACAUCAGGUUGAUGCCAAAGAAUGGGACAUGGAGCGACACGUCAUGUGACGGGCAGUUAAAGUUUGUUUGUGAAAAGAAAGGAUCGCGGUGAUGGAGAUCUGUGUAUCGAAGAUAUUAAAGAGCAUUAAAAGUCGUUCUUGAAAUGACAUGGCGUUGUGUGGAUCAUUUAUACAAUUUUCAGUUAUUUAGUAGCAACUGUUAUUGGAAUACAUAUUCCGUAAUAA